rnacentral:rRNA from 1 species
AGUGAACGCUGGCGGUAGGCCUAACACAUGCAAGUCGAACGGCAGCACAGUAAGAGCUUGCUCUUACGGGUGGCGAGUGGCGGACGGGUGAGGAAUACAUCGGAAUCUACUUUUUCGUGGGGGAUAACGUAGGGAAACUUACGCUAAUACCGCAUACGACCUACGGGUGGAAGCAGGGGAUCUUCGGACCUUGCGCGAUUGAAUGAGCCGAUGUCGGAUUAGCUAGUUGGCGGGGUAAAGGCCCACCAAGGCGACGAUCCGUAGCUGGUCUGAGAGGAUGAUCAGCCACACUGGAACUGAGACACGGUCCAGACUCCUACGGGAGGCAGCAGUGGGGAAUAUUGGACAAUGGGCGCAAGCCUGAUCCAGCCAUACCGCGUGGGUGAAGAAGGCCUUCGGGUUGUAAAGCCCUUUAGUUGGGAAAGAAAAGCAGCAGGUUAAUACCCCGCUGUUCUGACGGUACCCAAAGAAUAAGCACCGGCUAACUUCGUG